AGCAGCCGCGGUAAUUCCAGCUCCAAUAGCGUAUAUUAAAGUUGUUGCAGUUAAAAGCUCGUAGUUGAAUUUCGGAACCGAUGGAUCGGUCACGCCAUUCGGUGCGUACUGGUUUAAUUGGUUCUCACCUUCUAAGGAACCGUGAUGUCAUUAAUUUGGUGUCGCGGGGAAUUAGGACUGUUACCUUGAAAAAUUAGAGUGUUUAAAGCAAGCUCACGCUUGAAUACAUUAGCAUGGAAUAAUGAAAUAGGACAUUGUAUUCUAUUUUGUUGGUUUCUAGGAUCGAUGUAAUGAUUAAUAGGGAUAGUUGGGGGCAUUAGUAUUCAAUUGUCAGAGGUGAAAUUCUUGGUAUUUAUUGAAGACUAACUACUGCGAAAGCAUUUG
rnacentral:rRNA from 1 species